CAGCUGGAAGUGUCCAGCUUGCAAGAGCCCCUCUCCUGUUGGCACCACCUCAUCCUGUUGGCUCUACUUAUCUUUGCUGCUGGGGCAGGUGGGGUGAGGAUAAGGUAUAGGAGUUAGUUGCUGCCAUCCUGCUCCAGAGUGGCUGAACCAGAUGCCUUCUGUACAGAGAGGAAAAAUGGAAGAAGAUACCCAAGAUCUUCAUUUUUAGGACAGUGGCACUGGGGAAAUGACGAGUCAAGAGGUCCUUGACCUUUUUGUUCCUGAUGCUUGGCAGCUGUGUCACUGGAAAUAUGUGAUGUCAGGUAUCUGGAAGAUGGUAUUACCCAAAAUAAUUGGAAAAGCUAUUACAAAGGUGAAAGAGCUAAAUAUUUCUGCAAUACAAAUUAUCGUACUGACAAUGAGGAUGGUGAAAUUAUGUGCACAAAGAGUGGCUGGUCACAUACUCCAAGAUGUAUCCAUAAAGGUACAGGAAGGACAGCGGAAUUUUAUGAACAUAUAUGAAAUGAGAAGGAAAGAAACAAUCCUACCAACUUUCUUAGUACAGCUUGCUUGGGAAGACCAUCCACCUGAUUGACAUUGUACUGUAUCUUCAGUACCACCUCUGGGAGCUCGGCAGGCUUGAUUACAUUUGUGCUGUAGUUUCUCAUGUAUUUUGAAGUAUGUUUCUGUACUGUAAAAAAUGCCAUGUUCCAGAAGAGGCUGAUUGCAUUUUUCUAAAUGAAAAGAGACGGUUUGGUUAGGAAGAAAUAAUCGAUGUAAUAUUUUUCCUGGUAGGCAAGAAAGUGGGGUUUUUUAAUUAUUUCCAUCCAAUUUCAUUUUCUUGUUUUAUUGAAAUGCUCCCGCAAUCAUUGAGCAGACGGUACUACCAUGGAAUAUGUCUCCAGAGCUAAGGAGGCUCAGAUGCACAUCUGUAACUAAAAUGUCAAUUAUCUUUCCCAAGUUCAGUUACACUGGGCAGCUUUCUUGGAAUUCUUAAAAAGCGUAUGUGGUAAGAGUCCUUAGAACAUAUACUAGCAUAAAACAAUUUGAUGUAUGAAUAGACCUAAUGAAUUUCACCUUGACCUAGCUUACACAUUUUUAUCCCUACUGUUCUGCACCUUUUGUCCCUCUAUGCUUAAGGAAAUUGAGCUAAAAUAGUUUUCUGCUAGAAGCAAUAAUGAAAUGAAGAAGCGAACUCACUGUAGCAUUGUGGCACUGGAGACCAUCCUUUUUCUGUACAAGUUAUUCUGUCUUGAGUCCCGGUUUCAGCUGUAUAACCAGCCACGCAAGAAUAGGAAAGGUUUUUUCCUUUAUGCGUAAGGAAAUAGUAACCUUUGAAAUUGUAAUAACAUGGGGUAAUCCUUCCAUCUUCUACAAGUGGCAAAUCACAAAGUUUUUCUGCAAAGACACAACACGUGUAUUUCUCAACAAAACUCUCAUCCCAUCUAAGAAUGUAUUUGUUUAAAAACAGAAAGGGAAUGAAAUGCUGCUUACAAGGUCAAAGCUGGUGUACUUGGCUGUCACUGUUAAAGAAGAAAGUAUUAUUCUAAUGCUAUCAUACUGUAUUUUUUUACUAAACCUCAUCCUUGGUGUGAAGAGUCUUAUAACACACACUGACAUAUCGAAAAUAUCUGCCUAUGUUCUUUAAGUCCACAGAAAUACAACCUGCGGAAUUAAACUUCCUGCUAUGAACAAAAUGGGCAAAAUGGAUGCAGGGCACAUUUAUUUGACUCUCUGUAGCCUAGAAGAUGUACGCACGAGCACCUUCUACUUAAAAACCAUCCUGAUGCACAGACCAAAGCAAAGUGGAAACAGCAUCAAGAAUUAGCUAUGCAAUAGCUGCUCAUUCAGCACGGCAAACCAGCAGGAGGUAAUAUAGAAGACAACUCGCUGAAGGAAGGGAGGUUAAGAACAGAAGUCUCAGUUCAAGCAGGAUGCAUUCUAGACAGACGCAGGAAUUUCAAACGGUACUGAAAACAGGGAUAGGAAAUGUGAAACACCAUCCGAGGGUAACUUCUGCAGGCACCUCUUCACUUCUGCUCUUGUGCUCGAUGGUUAGCCAGGACAGCCCAAUUACUGAGAUGUGCCAGCAUACCUAAUGUCUAGGAGGGCAAAUUUCCAUUUGUGUAAUGCUCCAAAGUAGCUCAGAUACAUUUCCCGAGAAAACUCUUCUGAAAAGAAAUCUGGACCUUUCCGUUAUACAGCUUUGAAGUGUACGAGUGAAUCUGUAGCUCAGAUAAGCAGCAACAACUGAUCCAUGAUUAUCAGCCAUCUUGCAACAAAACUGUAUUUAAAAGCAGUCUUUAUUCUUGGUCAAGAUACAAAAGAUACUCCGCCUUAGAAACUUCAUCUCCACGUUCUAGAUUCGAUGUAUAUUUAUCAGCAGAAGAAUUCAGUGUUUUUAUCUUCUGCAAAGAGUUUGCCUGAAUUCAUCAUAACUAGGAAGAAAAGGCAGCUUUUAAAUCUCAUUUUCAGUACUGACCCCAUCAAUAGUUUCCAUCAUCUUCACAAACUCCCUGACUAUCACUUCUGUAAAUGAUAACUGAAUUUUCAAUGCUGUUCACAAGUGCUGUAAUGCCCAGAGUGUUUUGUAACUCAAGAUACUUCACCAAAAACUGUAUUUUUGUUUUAUGUCUUCACAAACCACAACUAGAAGUGCAGAACUCUACUCCCACUGGACAUACUUUAUAUCAGUAAAUGGGAUUGAACUUGCUACACAGCAGUAAAGCAAGGCGACAAACUGAAUGGAAUAAUUUAAACCUGUGGACCACUUUCCCCAUUAGAACCUCUUCAGUUCCAAGUUUAAAGGGCAUUCUAUUAUCAGGUUACUAUUUACCUUGGCCGCAGCAAGAAGAAAUAAAAAAUUCCCUCCCACACACUCCUUUGCAUUCUAUCUCUAAUUCAUUCUGGAGGCCCUAAUAUUAAUGAGAGCGUAACCACGUAGCCACUGCUCUUUCUUGUCCUUAGGUUCCGUAGCACAGCCAUCCACCUUUCUUUUAAGCAAAGCAAAAUGGAACAACGCUGUUGUCUAAAAAAGUUAGAUUAAUUAAAUUGAAUGAGUUGUUUUUACAGGCGUUCUGUACUGUUUGUUGAAAGCAGAUGAAUGAGCCUCGAUGUUAAGCUGUUAGGAACAAGGGUGUGCAAAAGCAUUCCAUUCUUUUUCUUAUUCCUUCCUAGUUAAGUAAGUAAAAAGUAUUUGCCGUAUUUUCCAUCGCAUGUGAUAAGAAAAAUGUUAAUUAAGUUUUCUUAAAUGGAAAAAGGAAACCUUAGAAGUGAACUCUGAUCACUACUUUUACGCGUUUCAUGUCUUUCCAACCAGUUCAGUGCAUUAAAUUCAAAUCUGACUUUACUAAACAUGCUAAAUAACACCUGACAUGCGUAAAGGAAAUAACCAGGUGCUUACUGUGUUAUUAAUCAUAUUGAUGAUCAACUCAGAAGCUUUUUUUUUUUUUUAUAAUGAACAAAUACGUACUCAAGACUUCUUUGUACAUCUGAAAGUCUGCAUGGGUUUCUUCAGUGUCACAGGUUUAGUUAAUGGUGGACAGGACUUCUUCCACUCCUUGACUGUAUAUAUGCGACGGUCACAUGAUGCACCACAGGCUAAUGGAAAUCCCUAAGAAUCCUUGGAAAAGUACAAAUUAUUUCUUUCACUUGCACGCUAACGAUGAGGCGGAACCCUUUUCCCGUGUGGCCCAGUAAGCACCGCAGGGGAGCUGGGGGUGGCUGCUGUUUUCCUCCGUCUGCUGAAAUAACCUGACGAAUGCUAAUUUGUGAUGCAAAAUUCCAUUAUAUAAAUCUGAAAUUUAUGCA